rnacentral:rRNA from 1 species
CCUACGGGGGGCUGCAGUGAGGAAUAUUGGUCAAUGGGCGGGAGCCUGAACCAGCCAAGUCGCGUGAGGGAAGACGGUCCUAUGGAUUGUAAACCUCUUUAGGCGGGGAGCAAUGCCGGGCACGCGUGCCCGGAGGGAGAGUACCCGCAGAAUAAGCAUCGGCUAACUCCGUGCCAGCAGCCGCGGUAUUACGGAGGAUGCGAGCGUUAUCCGGAUUUAUGGGGUUUAAAGGGUGCGUAGGCGGAUUUUUAAGUCAGCGGUAAAAUGUCCGGGCUCAACCCGGGCCGGCCGUUGAAACUGGGGAUCUUGAGUGGGCGAGAAGUAUGCGGAAGGCGUGGUGUAGCGGUGAAAUGCAUAGAUAUCACGCAGAACUCCGAUUGCGAAGGCAGCAUACCGGCGCCCGACUGACGCUGAGGCACGAAAGCGUGGGGAUCGAACAGGAUUAGAUACCCCUGUAGUC